AUUGAACGCUGGCGGCAUGCCUUACACAUGCAAGUCGAACGGCAGCACGGGUGCUUGCACCUGGUGGCGAGUGGCGAACGGGUGAGUAAUACAUCGGAACGUACCUUAUCGUGGGGGAUAACGCAGCGAAAGCUGUGCUAAUACCGCAUACGCCCUGAGGGGGAAAGCGGGGGAUCGCAAGACCUCGCGCGAUUAGAGCGGCCGAUGCCUGAUUAGCUAGUUGGUGGGGUAAAAGCCCACCAAGGCGACGAUCAGUAGCUGGUCUGAGAGGACGAUCAGCCACACUGGGACUGAGACACGGCCCAGACUCCUACGGGAGGCAGCAGUGGGGAAUUUUGGACAAUGGGGGCAACCCUGAUCCAGCAAUGCCGCGUGAGUGAAGAAGGCCUUCGGGUUGUAAAGCUCUUUUGUCAGGGAAGAAACACCGGCUCUAUCACAGUCCGGGAAUGACGGUACCUGAAGAAUAAGCGCCGGCUAACUACGUGCCAGCCGCCGCUGUAA
rnacentral:rRNA from 1 species